UACGUAGGGGCCGAGCGUUGUCCGGAGUUAUUGGGCGUAAAGCGCGCGCAGGCGGCCUCGCGCGCCCGACGUGAAAGCCCCCGGCUUAACCGGGGAGGGUCGUUGGGGACGGCGGGGCUUGAGGGCGGGAGAGGUCGGUGGAAUUCCCGGUGUAGUGGUGAAAUGCGUAGAGAUCGGGAGGAACACCUGUGGCGAAGGCGACUUCCUGGCUGUUCUUGACGCUGAGGAGCGAAAGCAUGGGGAGCGAACAGG
rnacentral:rRNA from 1 species